rnacentral:rRNA from 1 species
GAAACAGCGAUAAGGGGACCUCGAGUGCCAGGUUACAAAUCUGGCUGUCGUGAUGCCUAAAAAGCAUUGCAUAGCAAGGGCCGGGCAAGACCGGUGCCAGCCGCCGCGGUAACACCGGCGGCUCGAGUGGUAACCGUUAUUAUUGGGUCUAAAGGGUCUGUAGCCGGCCGGAUAAGUCUCUUGGGAAAUCUGGCAGCUUAACUGUCAGGCUUUCAGGAGAUACUGUCUGGC